rnacentral:rRNA from 1 species
GACAGAGGUGCCGAGCGUUAGGCGGAAUCACUGGGCUUAAAGCGUGUGUAGGCGGACUUCUAAGUACCUUGUGAAAUCCCACGGCUCAACCGUGGAACUGCUUGGUAUACUGGUCGUCUUGAGCCAUCUAGGGGCUGUCGGAACAAAUGGUGGAGCGGUGAAAUGCGUAGAUAUCAUUUGGAACGCCAAUGGUGAAAACAGGUAGCUGGGAGUGUGCUGACACUGAGACACGAAAGCCAGGGGAGCGAACGGG